GACGUAGGGCGCGAGCGUUGUCCGGAUUUAUUGGGCGUAAAGAGCUCGUAGGCGGCUUGUCGCGUCGAAUGUGAAAACCUGCAGCUCAACUGCAGGCUUGCAUUCGAUACGGGCAGGCUCGAGUUCGGUAGGGGAGACUGGAAUUCCUGGUGUAGCGGUGAAAUGCGCAGAUAUCAGGAGGAACACCGGUGGCGAAGGCGGGUAACUGGGCCAACAUUGACGCUGAGACCCGAAAGCGUGGGGAGCGAACAGG
rnacentral:rRNA from 1 species